rnacentral:rRNA from 1 species
GAAAGUAAGCAAGGGCAGACGGUGGAUGCCUUGGCUCUCGGAGGCGACGAAGGACGUGAUAAGCUGCGAAAAGCCCGGGGGAGGCGCAAAUAGCCCUUGAUCCCGGGAUAUCCGAAUGGGGCAACCCGGCAGGCUGAAGGCCUGUCAUCCCGUAAGGGAGGCGAACGUGGGGAACUGAAACAUCUAAGUACCCAUAGGAGGAGAAAAUAAACAAUGAUUCCGUAAGUAGUGGCGAGCGAACACGGAAGAGCCCAAACCCAUGUCGUCUAGGCGACACGGGGGUUGUAGGACCACGACGUGGCAAGAUAGAGUCAAGUGGAACGCCUUGGAAAAGGCGGUCAUAGAGGGUGAAAACCCCGUACACGACUGACGAUUGAAGCCUAGUGGCAUCCUGAGUAGCGCGGGGCACGAGAAAUCUUGCGUGAAACAGCGGGGCCCAUCCCGUAAGGCUAAAUACUCCCGAGAGACCGAUAGCGAACCAGUACCGUGAGGGAAAGGUGAAAAGAACCCCGAGCAGGGGAGUGAAAUAGACCCUGAACCCGUCUGCCUACAAGCGGUCGGAGCGUCGUAAUGACGUGACGGCGUGCCUUUUGCAUAAUGAACCUACGAGUUACCUUCCCCGGCAAGGUUAAGUUCUUGAGGAACGGAGCCGAAGCGAAAGCGAGUCUGAACAGGGCGCCAAGUCGGGGGGGGUAGACGCGAAACCGAGUGAUCUACCCUUGGCCAGGUUGAAGGUUGGGUAACACCAACUGGAGGACCGGAUGGGUAAGCGUUGAAAAGCUUUCCAAUGAGCUGAGGGUAGGGGUGAAAGGCUAAUCAAACUCGGAGAUAGCUCGUACUCCCCGAAAUGCAUUUAGGUGCAGCCUCUUUAUAGUAUAUCGUGAGGUAGAGCGACUGAUUGGAUGCGAGGGCUUCACCGCCUAUCAAGUCCAGAUAAACUCCGAAUGCGCGAUAUAUAUUUACAGGGAGUGAGGGCGCGGGUGCUAAGGUCCGUGUCCGAGAGGAGAAGAAUCCAGACCACCGGCUAAGGCCCCCAAAUGAUCGUCAAGUUGAACUAACGAGGUCGGAUCGCAGAGACAGCUAGGAUGUUGGCUUGGAAGCAGCCAUUCAUUUAAAGAGUGCGUAACAGCUCACUAGUCGAGCGAUCUGGCGUGGAUAAUAAUCGGGCAUAAACGAUCUGCCGAAGCCGUGGAUGUCGCAAGACAUGGUAGGGGAGCAUUCCAUGCCGCGUCGAAGAUGAGGGAUGACCCUUGUUGGAGCGCAUGGAAAAGCAAAUGUAGGUAUGAGUAACGAUAAGGGGGGCGAGAAACCCCCCCGCCGAAAGACCAAGGUUUCCUGAUCAACGCUAAUCGGAUCAGGGUGAGUCGGGACCUAAGGCAAAGCCGAACGGCGCCGCCGAUGGAAGAAUGGGUUAAUAUUCCCAUACUGCCUCAUGGAGUGACGUGGAGACGGAGAAGUGACAGUCCUGCCGGCUGACGGAAUAGCCGGUUGAAGGGUGUAGAUAUUGAUUCCCGUAGGCAAAUCCGCGGGGAGAGUCGAACCUGAGAGUAUACGGAGCGCUUGCGCAACGUAAUAUGGACGUAACCAUGCUCCCGAGAAAAUCCGCUAAACUUAUCCAUGCGGCACCCGUACCGUAAACGGACACACGUGGUCGGGUUGAGAAUACUGAGGCGCUCGAGUGAUUCACGGUUAAGGAACUAGGCAAAUUGACCCUGUAACUUCGGGAUAAAGGGUCCUCGUCGUAAGGCGAGGCGCAGAGAAUAGGUCCAGGCAACUGUUUAACAAAAACACAUGGCUGUGCUAAAUGGAAACAUGAUGUAUACAGCCUGACACCUGCCCGGUGCCGGAAGGUUAAGAGGAGAUGUCAUCCGCGAGGAGAAGCGUUGAAUUGAAGCCCCGGUAAACGGCGGCCGUAACUAUAACGGUCCUAAGGUAGCGAAAUUCCUUGUCGGGUAAGUUC